GGGGAUGGCGAUCGUCCUAAGCAAAUCAUUUUUGUUGGGGAACCAUCGUUCUUCUUCUGAUAUUUUCGAGAUGGAGCAUCAUCAUCAUUCUGUUGAACUUGACUCCUUGUACGCUUUUUUAUCUUUUCAUUUACAAUUUCGCUCUUGGGACUCUCUUCAGUUUUAGCCUCUGCCUUUUUUGUAGGAGGCGUUCCCUGGUUCUGUUUGCUGCCUCGUUGUGGAGGCUCCAUGGCCUUCUUCAAUCGUUCAAUAUAAUUACUAGUUUUUUUUAUGAUAUCUUGCAGGUCGUCGAUUUUCUCAUGCGUUAGAUGGUGGUGGUCCUUAAUGUUGUGUAUUGCAUCCAUUAAUUCUCCAACUUUUUCCUUUAACGUUUGCAGCAAUUUCGCUUUUCCUCUCGUCUUAGACGACAUUGUUGCUCGUGUAUAAUCUGCAAAUCCAUAGAUAGCAAGUGUAAAAGAGAAUGAUGAUAAUAAUAUUCAAAGAAAAAUUAAAAUGAUUUGAUUGCUCCGAGAAAAAAAAUCUAAGUAAUCUUUGCUCAAAAUAAAUGAAAGAAAUUUGUACUUGCCCUGUUUCUUGAGUCUGUUCCUCAUGUUUUACAUGGUCUGAUUUACUGGCAAAAUAUCAUAGGAAUAUGUCCCCAGUCAUGAGA
rnacentral:misc_RNA from 1 species